CGAGCGGCAGCGCGGGGCAACCUGGCGGCGAGCGGCGAACGGGUGAGUAAUAUAUCGGAACGUAUCCAUAAGUGGGGGACAACCUAGCGAAAGUUAGGCUAAUACCGCAUACGCAGGAGACUGGAAAGUGGGGGAUCGCAAGACCUCACGCUUUAGGAGCGGCCGAUAUCAGAUUAGCUAGAUGGUGAGGUAAAGGCUUACCAUGGCGACGAUCUGUAGCUGGUCUGAGAGGAUGAUCAGCCACACUGGGACUGAGACGCGGCCCAGACUCCUACGGGAGGCAGCAGUGGGGAAUUUUGGACAAUGGGGGCAACCCUGAUCCAGCCAUUCCGCGUGAGUGAAGAAGGCCUUCGGGUUGUAAAGCUCUUUUGUCGGGGACGAAACGGUUUUAGCUAAUAUCUAAGACUACUGACGGUACCCGAAGAAUAAGCACCGGCUAACUACGUGCCAGCAGCCGCGGUAAUACGUAGGGUGCGAGCGUUAAUCGGAAUUACUGGGCGUAAAGCGUGCGCAGGCGGUUUUAUAAGCCAGAUGUGAAAGCCCCGGGCUCAACCUGGGAAUGGCAUUUGGGACUGUAAGGCUGGAGUAUGGCAGAGGAGACUAGAAUUCCUGGUGUAGCAGUGAAAUGCGUAGAUAUCAGGAGGAAUACCGAUGGCGAAGGCAGGUCUCUGGGCCAAUACUGACGCUCAUGCACGAAAGC
rnacentral:rRNA from 1 species